UUUAUAAUAUAAUAUUCAAUCCUUUCGUACUAAAAUAUUUUUUAUAUUUAAGAUAGAAACCAACCUGGCCUACACCGGUUUAAACUCAGAUCAUGUAAAAUUUUAAAGGUCGAACAGACCUAAUAUUUUAGCUUCUACACCAAAAAUAAAUUUUAAUCCAACAUCGAGGUCGCAAACCUUUUUUUCAAUAAGAACUAUUAAAAAGAUUACGCUGUUAUCCCUAAGGUAAUUUAUUCUUUUAAUCAUUUUUAUGGAUCAAUAAUUCAAUUAAAAUUGUUUUUAUAUAAAAAAAGUUUAUUUAAUUUUUUUGUCACCCCAACAUAACUUAAAUUAAAUUAUAAAAAUAAAAUUCUAAAAUUUUUAAAUUAAUUUUUACUUAAACUCUAUAGGGUCUUCUCGUCUUUAAAUUUAAUUUAAGCUUUUUUACUUAAAAAUAAAAUUAUAAAAUUAAAAUUGAAACAGUAAUUUUCUCAUCAAACCAUUCAUACAAGCUUUCAAUUAAAAAACUAAUGAUUAUGCUACCUUUGCACAGUCAAAAUACUGCGGCCCUUCAAAUUUCGUGGGCAGGCCAAACUUUAAAUUAAAUUC
rnacentral:rRNA from 1 species